GGUGCGAGCCUGUAAACCGCGGGCGGAAGAGGUGGAGCUGGGACGGCUCGGUGGCCCCCGGGAGGCUCGCGGAGCCAGGGGGUGGUGUCGCAGGGGUUGGUACCUACAAGUGUAACUGAAAUGAGAGAUAGGAGAAACAAGAAAGUUGAAAGAUGUUACGAACAGACUUGGCAUUGGGGAUUGUCUAGCAUCCUGUGCUGAUUUCUGAGAAGAGCCAUAAAUUACUGCAAUUUUUCAGGAAAUGUUGAUAUGAACAUGGGAAACUUAACCUGGAAGUUAUAAAAUAUUCCGUGCUGAAUUUUGUAAGAAAAGGGACCUUCAUGUGGUAUCUUGAGGCAAUUUACCAGAAAUGCUUACAUAGAAGAGUCUUUAUUGCCAACCUGGCUUCUCCUCACCUAGGAUACUUUGCAGCUCCUGGCGACUCCAGGCACCCCAGGGACCAUGCAUGUGAGGCUUUAUUCACUUCUCAUGAAGGGAGACUGCCAGAAGUCACAUAAGCAAAGAGUGAAGAGUUGGGAGCCGGGAAGCCGGGGAAACAUGAAUCACAACACCCAGAGUUGGGACUUAAGAACACUCCUGUGAGUCACAUCAACUUUUUUAACAUCCAAAUUUAGGGCUAUGGAAAUAAAAUAUUUGGUUAAUUAAAAACCCAAAUCAAAGCCUCAGUACCAUUUUC